rnacentral:rRNA from 1 species
UAGGGAAUCUUCGGCAAUGGACGAAAGUCUGACCGAGCAACGCCGCGUGAGUGAAGAAGGUUUUCGGAUCGUAAAACUUUGUUGUUAGAGAAGAACAAGGACGUUAGUAACUGAACGUCCCCUGACGGUAUCUAACCAGAAAGCCACGGCUAACUACGUGCCAGCAGCCGCGGUAAUACGGAGGUGGCAAGCGUUGUCCGGAUUUGUUGGGCGUAAAGCGAGCGCAGGCGGUUUCUUAAGUCUGAUGUGAAAGCCCCCGGCUCAACCGGGGAGGGUCAUUGGAAACUGGGGGACUGGAGUGCAGAAGAGGAGAGUGAAAUUCCAUGUGUCGCUUUGAAAUGCAUAGAUAUAUGGAGGAACACCAGUGGCGAAGGCGGCUCUCUGGUCUGUAACUGACGCUGAGGCUCGAAAGCGUGGGGAGCAAACAGG